CGCAUCUGUGCAUGCAGCAUAUCAAUAAGCGGAGGAAAAGAAACUAACAAGGAUUCCCCUAGUAACGGCGAGUGAAGCGGGAAGAGCUCAAAUUUGAAAUCUUAAAGGGUUUCCUUUUACGAAUUGUAGUUUAAAGAAGUGUUUUCUGUUGAGGUUUUGGUAAAAGUUCUUUGGAAUAGGACAUCAUAGAGGGUGAGAAUCCCGUAUUUGACCUUUACUUUCAACUUUGUGAUACACUUUCAAAGAGUCGGAUUGUUUGGGAAUGCAGUCCAAAAUGGGUGGUAAAUUUCAUCUAAAGCUAAAUAUUGGCGAGAGACCGAUAGCGAACAAGUACCGUGAGGGAAAGAUGAAAAGAACUUUGAAAAGAGAGUUAAACAGUACGUGAAAUUGUCAAAAGGGAAGCGUUUGACACCAGUGUUGUUUUUCUGAAAAUCAAUUAAAGAACUGUUUAUGCUAAGUUGUUUAGACUUUAUCAGCUAACUGUUUAGUUUUGAGCUUUUCUUUAAUGCACUUUUCAGUUAACAAGUCAACAUCAAUUUCUUUUGCUGUAAAAAAGCUUGAGGAAGGUGGCUUGAGAUUCGUCUUAAGUGUUUAUAGCCUCUUGCCUAUGCAGUCGGAGAGAUUGAGGUCUGCAGCGUAGAUCCUUCGGGGCUAAAUGCAUUUGUGCUAAGUUAUAGCAUUUUAUAGACAACUUGUUGACUAUGAUUUGUCUUGUAGCUUACUCGCUUAUGUUAUUUUACCUACGCUUAGGAUGUUGAGCGCAUGUCUCUCUCU
rnacentral:rRNA from 1 species